UAUUUUUCAAAGUGUUAUUUAUAAGAAAGAAAAUAGGGGCGCCUGGCUGGCUCAGUCAGUAGAGCAUGCAAUUCUUGAUCUUGGGAUUGUGAGUUUGAGCCCCACAUUGGGUUUAGAAAUUGCUGAAAAAUAAAAUCAUAAAAAGAAAAAUAACAUUUCCAGUCAUGUACGGAUAAAUAAACUAUGGUAGGUUAUCAUUAUAUUAGGUACCCGUUAAUAUUUUCAAAGAACGUUUGAUAAUUUAGUGUAUUAUCUUGUCUCAAUAUUAAGACGAGAUGGUAUUGGGAUAUAAAUUAAUAUAAAAAUUAAGAUAAAAAAAUGAAACCUAAAUAAAUACACAAAAAUGUUAACUUUUAGGAUAAUUUAUUAUUUUUUUACCCUGUACUGUAUUUUCCAAAUUUUCUUCAAUGAACAUUUAUUUUAAUCAGAAUAUUAAAUGAGGGUUGCCUAGGUGGCUCAGUAAGUUAAGCAUCCAACUCUUGAUUUUGGCUCAGGUCAUGAUCUCAUGGUUUGUGGGAUCAAGCCCUGCAUGGGGCUCUACAUUGACAGCAGGGAGUCUGCUUGGGAUUCUCUUCCUCCCUGCCCCUCCUCACCCUCAAAGUAAAUAAACAUUAAAAAGAAACAAAACUAUAUGAUAAAUAUAAAUCAAGGCAUUUCUUAUUUUAGGAAACAUCAUUUCCAUUUCACAGUUUUUGGAAAUUAUGCUAUUUGAUAAGUUGCUUUAUUGCAUUUUCCAAACAGAUAUAGCUUUUUUUUCCCCCGACUGUAAGGAUACUGGUGCUGUUAGUUUAAAAAAAAAAAACGACAUGAAAUACAGAAAAGCAUGAAUAAAUUAAAGACAUGAAAAACUACCCAUAAUCUCACCACCCAGAAACAGUCAUUGUUAGCAUUUAUUGUAUAUUCUUCCAAAUAAUGUUUAUGCAUAUAUAUCUAUUUCCAGGACUGGUUUUCAGGGAUGUACAGUGAUAAAUAAGCAUAUCAGUUAUUUACAAACAGCAGCUGUUCUGGUGGUUUGGUGUCCAUGCCAACUGGUGGCAAAAUACAUUAUCACCCUUUCACAAUCUAUCAAUUCGUCGAUCGAGCAAUUGUUUGAUCUAUUUUUAUAUUUUAAUUUUUUUUUAACAUUUGUUUAUUUUUGAGACAGAGAGAGAGCAUGAACAGGGGAGGGUGAGAGAAAGAGGGAGACACAGAAUCUGAAACAGGCUCCAGGCUCUGAGCUGUCAGCACAGAGCCCGACACGGGGCUCGAACCCACAGACCGCAAGAUCAUGACCUGAGCCGAAGUUGGACGCUUAACCGACUGAGCCACCCAGGCGCUCCUAUUUUUAUAUUUUAAACAAUGUAAUCAUAUUAUAUGCUCUGUUCUAUAAUCUGCACUUUUUUUCCCCAUUGAAUCACAUCGUAACAUCUUUUUACGUUAACGAACAGUAUGGGUCUACUUCAUCAUUUUAACAACUGCACUAUAUUUGUGUGUUUAGAAAGACCUUCUCCAGUUCAAAAUUAUUACAAUAGUCAUCUAUAUUACUAUACACCUAAGCUUAUGUCAAGCCCAGCAGUCAGCAAACUUUUUCUAGAAAAGGGUCAAGUAGUAAAUAUUUUUGGCUUUGCGGGCCAUAUGGUGUCUAUCAGAACUGGUCAACUCUGCCACGGUACUGGGAAUACAGACACAGACACUACUUAAGCAAGUGGAUGUGGCUGUGUUCCUUUAAAAUUUUACUUAGGCACACCGAAAUUUGAUUUCAUGUAAUUUUCACAUGCCAUGAAAAAAUUUUUCCCACCAUUUAAAAAUGUAAAACCAUUCUCCCUCUUCUUAGUUUGCCAGUCAUUCAAAAAUGACUGGCAGGUCGGAUUUGGGCCGGAGCUUGCUGACUCCUUCUCUAGCUGAAUGCUUCCCUUCAAAUAUUUCAUCUUCUGCCAUGAAGUAUAUCAGUGUCACAUGUAAGUUUCCUUCAGUUAGAUGCAAACCUUAUAGGAAAAUGUACUUUUGAUGGUACAGAGGAUCCCUAAAGAUGUCCCACAUUUCCAUCCAAAUCCUAAAACCAUAAAAUUUAGAGGCAGGGUGAACACCUUCAUUUCAGGUCUAGAAUCACAAUGACUUCACUUUUUCAGAAACCAAACAUGUUCAUGGAAUGCACUAGUAGAUUUUAUAAAUUCCAUUUCUUUCUUUACUUGUAAAUUUUUCCCAUUGCUUUUAUAACUUUACUGAGACAAAAUUGACUUGUUAUUGAAGACCUUACCUUAGUGUUGUCCUGUGGAAACUCCUCAAACUUCAUUAUACAUGCUUCUUUUUUAUAAUCUGUCCUGCUUAAGUAUUGCUGUUUUUUUUCUUAAAUGACUGCCACAAAGGAAUAUUGAGCAUUAAUAGUGGCCACGUAUUCAGAAAUGUUUUGCUUGCCAAGUACUCUCUCAAAGGCCUAAUAUACAUUAUGUCAUUUAAUCAUCAUCAUUUAAACUUUGUAUGGUAGGUAUUUAGGUCCAUUUCAUAUAUUAAAAAACUGUGGGUCAUAAACGUAAUAAACUGCCAGCUAGCAAGUAUAGGAUUGGAAUUUAAACCUAGAUUUGAGAGUCUUUCAAAGGCCCUGAGUGCUCUUGAGCAGUGCUAACCUGCAUCCUUGUAAUUUACCUGCCACCCCAAUUAAGUAUAAUUCUUGGUAUUCAAUAAAAACUUUGUUAGAAGUUAUUUUGAUGUAAUUACAAAAGCCUGUUUCUGCAAGAUCCAUAUCCCACCCAAAACAGAUUACAAAUUGGCCAGCACAGACAGAGGCAUAGAAUGAAUUAAGCCCAACAAAUUAAUUACAUUAAAAAAAAAAAAAUCCUACAGGGGCACCUGGGUGGUUCAGUCUGUUGAGCAUCUGAUUUAGGCUCAGGUCAUGAUCUUGCAGUUCUGCAGUUCUUGACCUGGAGCCUGCUUCAGAUUCUGUGUCUCCCUCUCUCUGCCUCUCCCCUGCUUGCACUCUGUCCCUCUGUCUCAAUAAAUAAACAUAAAAAAAAAAAAACCCUUUUAAACAUUGUUUUAUCUGUUAUCUUACCUUUUUGCUCUAUAGAUUUUUAAUAUAAAGGCAUAGACCAGUUUUUUAACAUUUUCACAUUUUUAUUCUCUUUAUGGUGUCUGCCUUUGGUGUCUUAUAUAGAAAGCCCUUCCCCAACUCAAAAUGAUUAAAAUAGCCAUGUGUUUUUCUUUCAAUAUUUCUCUUAAAGUAAGCAUAUCCCCAAACUGUAAGAUUGCUUGGUGAUUUAUUUAGAAGAAUUCCAUGUCAGAGGAUCCAAGUUUAGUACGCUUUCACCUUGUUUUCAGUCCCAACGAGUUAAAUAAUGAUUUUACUAUCACAUUCUCUUCUCCAUUACAAGGCUUGAUAUCUGAAUUUAUCAUGUUCAAAUUUAACUUCCUUUUCAACAGAUUCAGUUACCAUUGAAACUGUGCUUCAUGUUUAUGAACUGCAGAGGAACCCAUGAACUGUGGGAAAGACAGUUCCUAGAGAUUAAUCUCAUAUUACUCUAAGUAAUCUUAAAUGAUUUCUUAGUCUCUUAUUAACUUCCCAUGAGAGAUAAAAUGUAAUUCAUAAAGUGCCUAUUGUAUAGCUUAUGUGUGUACUUGUGACACUUUGUGGAGAAACUAGCUAAAAUGUCAAUCUCCUUAAAGCUCCAGUGGGUUCUUUAUCUGGUUUUAUAAUUGAGACUUACAGUCCCCUAAAUGAGAUCUAUGGGUUUGCAGGUAGGAGUUGGCCAUUAUAAAAUUUUGUUUUGUUUUGUGUUGUUUUCUGAUUCCACAGACAUGCUCUAGUUCUACAGCCCUCCUCUUCUGCCAAGGUGAAACCAAAAGGUUUCUGUAUUUAUGAUUUAGAAGACUGUAUUAACUCUUUGAAUACAAGCACUGUGAUUAUAUUUCCAAAUAUAAUCCAAAUUACCAUUUGGAGAUAUUUAUGUAUUGAGUGAGCGUAUUUAGAAAACUGGCCUAAAAGGAUCUCAAAUGAAGCCAGUCAAGACCUAAGAAAACUUUUAAAAAAUUCAAAUGUUAUGUUUCAUUUCUUGAUCUUGGUGAUAGUUAUAUGGGUGUUUUCACUUUGUAAACAUUCAUCAAGCUCUAUACUUAAAAUGUGUGUACUUUUCUGUAUGCAUUACAUUUUAAUUAAAAAAAAAAAACUUUACUUGAAAAAAAUCUCACCACAGCUCUGCUUCUUUCUGCAAUGCAUCAUGGUAACUCUGGUGUUUGGUUCCCCAGAAUAUUACUUUUUAUCCCUCCAACUCAGGACUUGGCCCAUCAGUGUCCUUCCUUGGUCCCCUCUCUGCGUGUUAUGAGGGAGGGUGGAGAGCAGAAAUCUAGGUGGUUGAAUUGGUGUUAGUGUGCUAAUCCUGUAUGUAAUUAAGAAAUAUAGUCCAUGUGAAUAUAGUAUCUGGUCUGUUUGCUCUCAUGGGCUUCAUCCUGCCUCUAACUUGGAACAAAGCUAGAUUGUUCUUAAAGUUUGGUGAUAGGGUUUGUGUAUUUUAGUAUUUCUCUAGUUUUUGUCAGACCACCUGUUUUCAUGUUCUCAGUUUUCCAAAAGCUGCCUCCUUUUUUAUUAUCUUUCAUAAGUUUCACUCUUUUUUGUUUCGUCUGGAGUUUUAACUAGUUUCCCUCUGCAUAAUAGGUUGAGCUGCAAUUUUUCCAGUUUCCUCAGCCUUGUCACAUCUUCCAUGGAGAGCAUUUUCUCUUUUGUGUUGGAAAUCUAACACAGUGUUGGCUAACAUUACUGAACCCUUACUUUUUUUUUCACUUUUU